AUUGAACGCUGGCGGCAUGCUUUACACAUGCAAGUCGAACGGUAACAGCACUUCGGUGGCUGACGAGUGGCGAACGGGUGAGUAAUACAUCGGAACGUGCCUAGUAGUGGGGGAUAACUACUCGAAAGAGUAGCUAAUACCGCAUGAGAUCUAAGGAUGAAAGCAGGGGACCUUCGGGCCUUGCGCUACUAGAGCGGCUGAUGGCAGAUUAGGUAGUUGGUGGAUAAAAGCUUACCAAGCCGACGAUCUGUAGCUGGUCUGAGAGGACGACCAGCCACACUGGGACUGAGACACGGCCCAGACUCCUACGGGAGGCAGCAGUGGGGAAUUUUGGACAAUGGGCGCAAGCCUGAUCCAGCAAUGCCGCGUGCAGAAUGAAGGCCUUCGGGUUGUAAACUGCUUUUGUACGGAACGAAAAGCCCUCUUCUAAUACAGGAGGGUCAUGACGGUACCGUAAGAAUAAGCACCGGCUAACUACGUG
rnacentral:rRNA from 1 species